AGUGAAAUCAAUGUCAUGCUUUCAAACUGAAAUCUGACACUUAAAGAUGGGGAAUAUCUUUCAUAGGGGUACCAGUUAUUGUCUAAUUAAAUGUUACCAGCCAAACCCUUUGAAUGAGAUCUCUGUACUGUUUCAUGUAACUCUGCAGACAGCAUCUCCAGCACUACACAAACCAGUUGGCUAAAGAAACCAACAGACACUUGAAAGAGCUGGGCUCACUCCCCUACCCCUGUCCCCGUCGGAACAGGUCAGUAUGUGAACUUUUAUUUGUCUUCUACAGAUCGGCCAUAAUGGGCAGCACGGUGGAUUGAAAACUAAAUUGUGGAGAGC